CCUACGGGUGGCUGCAGUGAGGAAUAUUGGUCAAUGGGCGUAAGCCUGAACCAGCCAUCCCGCGUGAAGGAAGAAGGCGCUAUGCGUCGUAAACUUCUUUUCCAGAGGAAUAAAAUUUCGUACGUGUACGGAACUGAAGGUACUUUGGGAAUAAGCAUCGGCUAACUCCGUGCCAGCAGCCGCGGUAAUACGGAGGAUGCGAGCGUUAUCCGGUUUUAUUGGGUUUAAAGGGUACUAAGGCGUAUGUAGAGAAAACCUUCAGCUUAACUGGAGAACUGCCAGUGAUACUGUUAGUCUUGAGUACGGUCAAGGUAGGCGGAAUGUGUAAUGUAGCGGUGAAAUGCUUAGAUAUUACACAGAACACCGAUUGCGAAGGCAGCUUACUGGGCCAUUACUGACGCUGAUGCACGAAAGCGUGGGGAGCGAACAGGAUUAGAUACCCCUGUAGUC
rnacentral:rRNA from 1 species